CAUGAAGAUUGAAAAGGGCCUCGUAGUAGGUGGGCGCAUGGGCACGGCAGCGUAGCUGUCAGGCGAAAGCACCCAUGCGCGGCAAAUUCAGCCCCAAGCGGGGCUUUUUUAUUGCCCGUC
rnacentral:sRNA from 1 species